rnacentral:rRNA from 1 species
GACGAACGCUGGCGGCGUGCUUAACACAUGCAAGUCGAACGGAAAGGCCCUGCUUUUGUGGGGUGCUCGAGUGGCGAACGGGUGAGUAACACGUGAGUAACCUGCCCUUGACUUUGGGAUAACUUCAGGAAACUGGGGCUAAUACCGGAUAGGAUCUCCUGCUGCAUGGUGGGGGUUGGAAAGUUUCGGCGGUUGGGGAUGGACUCGCGGCUUAUCAGCUUGUUGGUGGGGUAGUGGCUUACCAAGGCUGUGACGGGUAGCCCGCUUGAGAGGGUGGCCGGCGACAUGGGGACUGAGAUACGGCCCAGACUCGUACGGGAGGCAGCAGUGGGGAGUAUUGUACAAUGGGCGGAAGCCUGAGGCGGAAACGCCGCGUGCGGGAUGACGGCCUUCGGGUUGUAAACCGCUUUAGCCUGUGACGAAGCGUUAGUGACGGUAAUGAGUAAAGAAGCACCGGCUAACUACGUG